rnacentral:ribozyme from 1 species
UGCCUACCAACUCCUAUCCCUACCUCCACGCGGUACCGGCCGGAAACUAUGAGCAACCUUAGGGAAGAUCGGGUAACCAACCCCGGUGGGAACUUUGGUCGUAGGCUGACAGGGAAGG